CCUACGGGAGGCAGCAGUGAGGAAUAUUGGUCAAUGGACGAGAGUCUGAACCAGCCAAGUAGCGUGAAGGAUGACUGCCCUAUGGGUUGUAAACUUCUUUUAUAUGGGAAUAAAAUGUUCCACGUGUGGGAUUUUGUAUGUACCAUAUGAAUAAGGAUCGGCUAACUCCGUGCCAGCAGCCGCGGUAAUACGGAGGAUCCGAGCGUUAUCCGGAUUUAUUGGGUUUAAAGGGAGCGUAGGUGGAUUGUUAAGUCAGUUGUGAAAGUUUGCGGCUCAACCGUAAAAUUGCAGUUGAAACUGGCAGGCUUGAGUACAGUAGAGGUGGGCGGAAUUCGUGGUGUAGCGGUGAAAUGUUUAGAUAUCACGAAGAAGCCCGAUGGAGAAGGCAGCUCACUGGACUGCAAAUGACACGGAGGCUCGAAAGUGUGGGUAUCAAACAGGAUUAGAUACCCGAGUAGUC
rnacentral:rRNA from 1 species